rnacentral:rRNA from 1 species
AGCGUACACGGUGGAUGCCCUGGCAGUCAGAGGCGAUGAAGGACGUGCUAAUCUGCGAUAAGCGUCGGUAAGGUGAUAUGAACCGUUAUAACCGGCGAUUUCCGAAUGGGGAAACCCAGUGUGUUUCGACACACUAUCAUUAACUGAAUCCAUAGGUUAAUGAGGCGAACCGGGGGAACUGAAACAUCUAAGUACCCCGAGGAAAAGAAAUCAACCGAGAUUCCCCCAGUAGCGGCGAGCGAACGGGGAGCAGCCCAGAGCCUGAAUCAGUGUGUGUGUUAGUGGAAGCGUCUGGAAAGGCGCGCGAUACAGGGUGACAGCCCCGUACACAAAAAUGCACAUGCUGUGAGCUCGAUGAGUAGGGCGGGACACGUGGUAUCCUGUCUGAAUAUGGGGGGACCAUCCUCCAAGGCUAAAUACUCCUGACUGACCGAUAGUGAACCAGUACCGUGAGGGAAAGGCGAAAAGAACCCCGGCGAGGGGAGUGAAAAAGAACCUGAAACCGUGUACGUACAAGCAGUGGGAGCACGCUUAGGCGUGUGACUGCGUACCUUUUGUAUAAUGGGUCAGCGACUUAUAUUCUGUAGCAAGGUUAACCGAAUAGGGGAGCCGAAGGGAAACCGAGUCUUAACUGGGCGUUAAGUUGCAGGGUAUAGACCCGAAACCCGGUGAUCUAGCCAUGGGCAGGUUGAAGGUUGGGUAACACUAACUGGAGGACCGAACCGACUAAUGUUGAAAAAUUAGCGGAUGACUUGUGGCUGGGGGUGAAAGGCCAAUCAAACCGGGAGAUAGCUGGUUCUCCCCGAAAGCUAUUUAGGUAGCGCCUCGUGAAUUCAUCUCCGGGGGUAGAGCACUGUUUCGGCAAGGGGGUCAUCCCGACUUACCAACCCGAUGCAAACUGCGAAUACCGGAGAAUGUUAUCACGGGAGACACACGGCGGGUGCUAACGUCCGUCGUGAAGAGGGAAACAACCCAGACCGCCAGCUAAGGUCCCAAAGUCAUGGUUAAGUGGGAAACGAUGUGGGAAGGCCCAGACAGCCAGGAUGUUGGCUUAGAAGCAGCCAUCAUUUAAAGAAAGCGUAAUAGCUCACUGGUCGAGUCGGCCUGCGCGGAAGAUGUAACGGGGCUAAACCAUGCACCGAAGCUGCGGCAGCGACGCUKAUGCGUUGUUGGGUAGGGGAGCGUUCUGUAAGCCUGCGAAGGUGUGCUGUGAGGCAUGCUGGAGGUAUCAGAAGUGCGAAUGCUGACAUAAGUAACGAUAAAGCGGGUGAAAAGCCCGCUCGCCGGAAGACCAAGGGUUCCUGUCCAACGUUAAUCGGGGCAGGGUGAGUCGACCCCUAAGGCGAGGCCGAAAGGCGUAGUCGAUGGGAAACAGGUUAAUAUUCCUGUACUUGGUGUUACUGCGAAGGGGGGACGGAGAAGGCUAUGUUGGCCGGGCGACGGUUGUCCCGGUUUAAGCGUGUAGGCUGGUUUUCCAGGCAAAUCCGGAAAAUCAAGGCUGAGGCGUGAUGACGAGGCACUACGGUGCUGAAGCAACAAAUGCCCUGCUUCCAGGAAAAGCCUCUAAGCAUCAGGUAACAUCAAAUCGUACCCCAAACCGACACAGGUGGUCAGGUAGAGAAUACCAAGGCGCUUGAGAGAACUCGGGUGAAGGAACUAGGCAAAAUGGUGCCGUAACUUCGGGAGAAGGCACGCUGAUAUGUAGGUGARGUCCCUCGCGGAUGGAGCUGAAAUCAGUCGAAGAUACCAGCUGGCUGCAACUGUUUAUUAAAAACACAGCACUGUGCAAACACGAAAGUGGACGUAUACGGUGUGACGCCUGCCCGGUGCCGGAAGGUUAAUUGAUGGGGUUAGCCGCAAGGCGAAGCUCUUGAUCGAAGCCCCGGUAAACGGCGGCCGUAACUAUAACGGUCCUAAGGUAGCGAAAUUCCUUGUCGGGUAAGUUCCGACCUGCACGAAUGGCGUAAUGAUGGCCAGGCUGUCUCCACCCGAGACUCAGUGAAAUUGAACUCGCUGUGAAGAUGCAGUGUACCCGCGGCAAGACGGAAAGACCCCGUGAACCUUUACUAUAGCUUGACACUGAACAUUGAGCCUUGAUGUGUAGGAUAGGUGGGAGGCUUUGAAGUGUGGACGCCAGUCUGCAUGGAGCCGACCUUGAAAUACCACCCUUUAAUGUUUGAUGUUCUAACGUUGACCCGUAAUCCGGGUUGCGGACAGUGUCUGGUGGGUAGUUUGACUGGGGCGGUCUCCUCCUAAAGAGUAACGGAGGAGCACGAAGGUUGGCUAAUCCUGGUCGGACAUCAGGAGGUUAGUGCAAUGGCAUAAGCCAGCUUGACUGCGAGCGUGACGGCGCGAGCAGGUGCGAAAGCAGGUCAUAGUGAUCCGGUGGUUCUGAAUGGAAGGGCCAUCGCUCAACGGAUAAAAGGUACUCCGGGGAUAACAGGCUGAUACCGCCCAAGAGUUCAUAUCGACGGCGGUGUUUGGCACCUCGAUGUCGGCUCAUCACAUCCUGGGGCUGAAGUAGGUCCCAAGGGUAUGGCUGUUCGCCAUUUAAAGUGGUACGCGAGCUGGGUUUAGAACGUCGUGAGACAGUUCGGUCCCUAUCUGCCGUGGGCGCUGGAGAACUGAGGGGGGCUGCUCCUAGUACGAGAGGACCGGAGUGGACGCAUCACUGGUGUUCGGGUUGUCAUGCCAAUGGCACUGCCCGGUAGCUAAAUGCGGAAGAGAUAAGUGCUGAAAGCAUCUAAGCACGAAACUUGCCCCGAGAUGAGUUCU